UACGUAGGUGGCAAGCGUUAUCCGGAAUUAUUGGGCGUAAAGCGCGCGCAGGCGGUUUCUUAAGUCUGAUGUGAAAGCCCACGGCUCAACCGUGGAGGGUCAUUGGAAACUGGGGGACUUGAGUGCAGGAGAGAAGAGUGGAAUUCCCGGUGUAGCGGUGAAAUGCGCAGAUAUCGGGAAGAACACCCGUGGCUAAGGCGGCUCUCUAGUACGGUACUGACGCUGAGACGCGAAAGCGUGGGGAGCGAACAGG
rnacentral:rRNA from 1 species